rnacentral:rRNA from 1 species
AUUGAACGCUGGCGGCAGGCCUAACACAUGCAAGUCGAACGAGUGGCGGACGGGUGAGUAAUGUUUGGGAAACUGCCUGAUGGAGGGGGAUAACUACGGGAAACGGUAGCUAAUACCGCAUACCAUCAGAUGUGCCCAGAUGGGAUUAGCUAGUUGGUGGGGUAACGGCUCACCAAGGCGACGAGCGCUAGCUGGUCUGAGAGGAUGACCAGCCACACUGGGACUGAGACACGGCCCAGACUCCUACGGGAGGUAGCAGUGGGGAAUAUUGCACAAGGGGCGCAAGCCUGACGCAGCCAUGCCGCGUGAAUGAAGAAGGCCUUCGGGUUGUAAAGUGCUUUCAGCAGGGAGGCGUUACCCGCAGAAGAAGCACCGGCUAACUCCGUGCCAGCAGCCGCGGUAAUUC